AGAGUUUGAUCCUGGCUCAGGAUGAACGCUGGCGGUAUGCCUAACACAUGCAAGUCGAACGAAAUCUUCGGAUUUAGUGGCGGACGGGUGAGUAACACGUGAGAAUCUACCUUAAAGUCGGGGAUAACAGUGGGAAACUACUGCUAAUACCGGAUAAGCCGCAAGGUGAAAGAUUAAUUGCUUUGAGAGGAGCUCGCGUCUGAUUAGCUAGAUGGAGAGGUAAAAGCUCACCAUGGCAACGAUCAGCAGCUGGUCUGAGAGGAUGAGCAGCCACACUGGGACUGAGACACGGCCCAGACUCCUACGGGAGGCAGCAGUGGGGAAUUUUCCGCAAUGGGCGAAAGCCUGACGGAGCAAUACUGCGUGAGGGAGGAAGGCUUUUGGGUUGUAAACCUCAAAAAUUAGGGAAGAAGAAAGUGACGGUACCUAAUAUAAGCAUCGGCUAACUCCGUGCCAGCAGCCGCGGUAAUACGGAGGAUGCAAGCGUUAUCCGGAAUCAUUGGGCGUAAAGAGUCCGUAGGUGGCUAAUCAAGUCUGCUGUCAAAGACCGAAGCUUAACUUCGGAAAGGCGGUGGAAACUGAAGAGCUAGAGUACAGAAGGGGUAGAGGGAAUUCCCAGUGUAGCGGUGAAAUGCGUAGAGAUUGGGAAGAACACCAGUGGCGAAGGCGCUCUACUGGGCUUGUACUGACACUGAGGGACGAAAGCUAGGGUAGCGAAAGGGAUUAGAUACCCCUGUAGUCUUAGCAGUAAACGAUGGAUACUAGGCGUAGCUUGUAUCGACCCGAGCUGUGCCGAAGCUAACGCGUUAAGUAUCCCGCCUGGGGAGUACGCACGCAAGUGUGAAACUCAAAGGAAUUGACGAGGACCCGCACAAGCGGUGGAGUAUGUGGUUUAAUUCGAUGCAACGCGAAGAACCUUACCAAGACUUGACAUCCGAUGGAUUUUUUCGAGAGAGAGAAGUGCCUUAGGGAACAUCGUGACAGGUGGUGCAUGGCUGUCGUCAGCUCGUGUCGUGAGAUGUUGGGUUAAGUCCCGCAACGAGCGCAACCCUCGUUUCUAGUUGCCAGCAUUAAGUUGGGGACUCUAGAGAGACCGCCGGGGAGAACUCGGAGGAAGGUGAGGAUGACGUCAAGUCAGCAUGCCCCUUACGUCUUGGGCUACACACGUACUACAAUGGUAAGGACAAAGAGAAGCGAAACCGAGAGGUGAAGCGAAUCUCAGCAAACCUUGCCUCAGUUCAGAUUGCAGGCUGAAACUUGCCUGCAUGAAGGAGGAAUCGCUAGUAAUCGCAGGUCAGCAUACUGCGGUGAAUCCGUUCCCGGGUCUUGUACACACCGCCCGUCACACCAUGGAAGUCGGUCACGCCCGAAGUCGUUACUCCAACCUGAAAAGGGGGAGGAUGCCGAAGGUGGGACUGGUGACUGGGGUGAAGUCGGAACAAGGUA
rnacentral:rRNA from 1 species